UACGUAGGGGGCAAGCGUUGUCCGGAAUCAUUGGGCGUAAAGAGCGUGUAGGCGGCCAGAAAAGUCCGCUGUGAAAACUCGAGGCUCAACUUCGAGCUGUCGGUGGAAACUUUCUGGCUAGAGUCCGGAAGAGGAGAAUGGAAUUCCUGGUGUAGCGGUGAAAAUUCGUAGAUAUUGGGAAGAGCACCGGUGGCGAAGGCGGCUCUCUGGGCCGAGACUGACGCUGAGG
rnacentral:rRNA from 1 species